UUUAAGGUAGCACAAUACAAAGAUUUUUCAUCCACAAUCAGACAUCUUUAAACUGAUGUUAUUCCACUCAUCCUUCUUUAAAUUUUAUAAAUGAGGUACCAAAAGAAAGAAGAAUGAUUAAUCUUUCAAAUUGUGAUAAUUUCAUUAUGACAUAAUUAUUACAUAAUUAAUUGUUAUGUAAUUAGUUGCUAUAUUGUGAUGUCC
rnacentral:lncRNA from 1 species